rnacentral:lncRNA from 1 species
CUCUCUCACACGUUCUCCUACCCAAGGAGCCCAGACAGGGAGGACGUGGUCACUCUCUGAAAGGUUCAACUUGAGGCAUGAAAAAGCCAGGGACCCAGUAUCCACAGAAGCUUCCUGGGACACUUCGGAGAGUACUCUGGACAGAAUGCAGUGGGUGUCCCUCCUGCUGCUGGCAGGGCUCUGCUCCCUCUCCCGGGCCCAGUAUGACGGCCGA